CGGAAGCGUUGCCCGAGGCCGGAAGGGGACGGUCACCCUAGGGGGCUUCCCGCUGAGAGGGUCUGCGGUCCCGGCUCCGACAAAGGAGCUGUGGCCCUGAUCUCCAGCCUGGGCUCUGAUUCUGUGAUGUGAAGACCUCCAGGGGUGCUAUCUACUAGGGGUGCUGAGGAACACCAGGGCGACAACAGGCUCUCUGCUAUAGCCUGGGAAAGCAGUGGAAGCUGACCAAGUCCUUGGCCAUGCACCUGUUUGGGAGACUGGGAAGAAGCUGCUGACCGGAAGAAGCUCCUCGCUCCUAAUCAGCUCAGCUCUGACCAUUGUGGUCAUUCGGAGUGAACCAGUGGAUGAAAGACCUCUCUCUCUCUCUCUCUCUCUCUCUCUCUCUCUCUCUCUCUCUCUG